rnacentral:rRNA from 1 species
UACGAAGGGUGCAAGCGUUGUUCGGAAUUAUUGGGCGUAAAGCGCGCGUAGGCGGGCUUGUAAGUCGAUUGUGAAAUCCCCGGGCUCAACCCGGGAAUUGCAGUCGAAACUGCAAGUCUUGAAUGUUUGAGAGGAUGGCGGAAUUCCUGGUGUAGUAGUGAAAUACGUAGAUAUCAGGAGGAACACCGGAGGCGAAGGCGGCUAUCUGGCAAUACAUUGACGCUGAGGCGCGAAAGCGUGGGGAUCAAACAGG